rnacentral:lncRNA from 1 species
CAGAAGUUGGAGCUCCUUUUGUUUUUGGGGAGAAUAAAAAGGAGCAGAUCUCAUCCUCAAACAUCACACCCUUCUUCAGCAAUCCUUCGAUACUCCUGUGGUGCUGCACUACUAAAGAUAUUUUUUGUCAACAGAAUCAUUCAAGAUGAAAACCUUCAUUCUGAUUGCCUGCAUCCUGGGGACUGCUCUCUGCCGCCCUCAAAGGCUGGUCAUGGAGUUUGACUUCCAGGCUGCCAACGCUCAGGCUCUCCAAGCUGGACAAGCCAGACCUGAUCUAGAGAUUAUCCUUCCUGUUGGUGGUGGAGUACCUUCGGGUGGUUUCAUCAAACAGGAGAUCCCCCAGCCACUCGGCCAGGAGAGCAUCGAGAUCUAUCACCCCUUCAGCAUCCAGGUUGCUCCACCUCCGCCUGCUCCUGCUGCACCUGCCCGUACUCAUGCAUCCGAUGAGGAAGAUGACUAGAGAUUUACUCGUUUCAGAUGACCGAUACUUGGAGAUCUACAGUACCCUUCGAUGAAACAACGAUGUCCUUCAACUCCAGAGCUGCUUUUAGUGUCCUAGAUUGAUUCAGUAAAUGCAAUGCUUAACCCAGCAAUAAACUAAGAGUAACACGGUGCUUAAUUAACCAAUGGCUUAAUGUAUGAAAUCUGUGUGUAAUUGUUUCUACUUGGCAGAAUAAUGUUAAUAAAACCCCCCAAAAAAUGUUUGCCGAACUUCUCCAUACCAUGCCUCAAUUUUCUUCCUUCUCUCUGCUUGUUAGUCUAUGGCAUUGAUAACGUUCAGCAUUCAAAUAAUUACAGUUCUUAAUCGGAU